rnacentral:rRNA from 1 species
GACGAACGCUGGCGGCGUGCUUAACACAUGCAAGUCGAACGGAGAGGCCCUGCUUUUGUGGGGUGCUCGAGUGGCGAACGGGUGAGUAACACGUGAGUAACCUGCCCUUGACUUUGGGAUAACUUCAGGAAACUGGGGCUAAUACCGGAUAGGAGCUCCUGCUGCAUGGUGGGGGUUGGAAAGUUUCGGCGGUUGGGGAUGGACUCGCGGCUUAUCAGCUUGUUGGUGGGGUAGUGGCUUACCAAGGCUUUGACGGGUAGCCGGCCUGAGAGGGUGACCGGCCACAUUGGGACUGAGAUACGGCCCAGACUCCUACGGGAGGCAGCAGUGGGGAAUAUUGCACAAUGGGCGGAAGCCUGAUGCAGCAACGCCGCGUGCGGGAUGACGGCCUUCGGGUUGUAAACCGCUUUCGCCUGUGACGAAGCGUAAGUGACGGUAAUGGGUAAAGAAGCACCGGCUAACUACGUG